GAGUUUGAUUAUGGCUCAGGACGAACGCUGGCGGCGUGCUUAACACAUGCAAGUCGAACGGGAUCCAAGUGGGCUUGCUUGCUUGGUGAGAGUGGCGAACGGGUGAGUAACACGUGAGUAACCUGCCCCCUUCUUUGGGAUAACGACCAGAAAUGGUUGCUAAUACUGAAUAUUCACGCAUUGUCGCAUGGUGGUGUGUGGAAAGGUUUUUCUGGUGGGGGAUGGGCUCGCGGCCUAUCAGCUUGUUGGUGGGGUGAUGGCCUACCAAGGCUUUGACGGGUAGCCGGCCUGAGAGGGUGACCGGUCACACUGGGACUGAGAUACGGCCCAGACUCCUACGGGAGGCAGCAGUGGGGAAUAUUGCACAAUGGGCGAAAGCCUGAUGCAGCGACGCCGCGUGAGGGAUGACGGCCUUCGGGUUGUAAACCUCUUUCAGUAAGGACGCAGGCCUAG
rnacentral:rRNA from 1 species